ACAAGCAUUCCAUCUGAGAAUACAACUACAUCAUUUGCAAACAAUGCCACAACCCCACUGCUGUCAACGCAUGAUGCUAGUAAUGUCCCAUCUCCACCUUCAUCUACUCAAGGCAACGUGACAAGCUUAUCUACAGUUGUACCAGAAAAUGCUACCAGUUCAUCAGCGAUUACACCAGGAAAUGCCACAGCUUCACCUGCGCCUGUAACAACAGCAGCACCCAGCACGACAAGUCCACUUGUGCCUACACCAGAGAAUGCUACGAACCAUCCUGUAACUUCCACAGACAAUGCCACAACUGGUUCUUUACCGGAGGCAGGCAACAGCACAACCCCACUCCAAACUACAAUAAGCAAUGACACUACUCCUCCCAUUAGCACACCAGGCAACAGCACAACUUCACCAAUUAUAACACCAAUCAAUGUCACAAAUACAACGCAGAAUACACCAGGUAAUGCUACAACAGCAAACCUUGCCACAGCUCCACCCUUAACCACAUAUAUUUCAAAUCAAAAUACACCAGGAAAUAAUGCAACAGUGAAUGCUACCAUACCACCCCUGACUACACCAGUAAAUGCAACUGCACCACCUCCAACUACAACAGGGAAUAAUGCAAUAGUAAACACUACCACACCACCCACAACUACACAAGAAAAUAAUGCAACAGUAAACACUACUACACCACCCAUGACUACAACAGGAAAUAAUGCAACAGUAGACAGUACAACACCACCCAUAACUACACCAAUGAAUGCAACUAGACCACCUCUAACUACACCCAGGAACAAUGCAACAGUAAACGCUACCACACCACCCAUAACUACAGAAGAAAAUAAUGUAACAGUAAACACUACUACACCACCCAUGACUACACCAGGAAAUAAUGCAACAGUAAACAUUACCACACCAUCCAUAACUGCACCAGUAAAUGCUACUACACCAUCUAUAACUACACCAGGGAACAAUGCAACAGUAAGCAUUACCAUUGCACCAAUAACUACACCUGGGAAUAAUGCAACAGUAAACGUUACCACACCACAUAUGACUACACCAGUAAAUGCUACUAUAUCACCUUUAACUACACCAUGGAAUAAUGCUACAGUAAAUGGUACCACACCACCCAUGACUACACCAAUAAAUGCUACUAUACCACCUUUAACUACACCAGGUAAUAAUGCAACAGUAAAUGAUACCACACCACCCAUAACUACACCUGAGAAUAAUGCAACAGUAAACGUUACCACAACACCCAUGACUACGCCAGUAAAUGCUACUAUACAACCUUUUACUACACCAGAGAAUAAUGCAACAGUAAAUGCUACCACACAACCCAUGACAUCACCAGUAAAUGCUACUGGACCACCUUUAACUACACAAGGGAAUAAUGCAACAGUAAAUGGUACCACACCACCCAUUACUACACCAGAGAAUAAUGUAACAGUAAGCAAUACCACUCCACCAAUAACUACACCUGGGAAUAAUGCAACAGUAAAUGUUACCACACCACCCAUGACUACACCAGUAAAUGCUAGUAUUCUACCUUUAACUACACCAGGGAAUAAUGCAACAGUAAAUGGUACCACACCACCCAUAACUACACUUGAGAAUAAUGCAACAGUAAACAUUACCACAACACCCAUGAAUACGCCAGUAAAUGCUACUAUACAACCUUUUACUACACCAGACAAUAAUGCAACAGUAAAUGCUACCACACAACCCAUGACAUCACCAGUAAAUGCUACUGCACCACCUUUAACUACACAAGGGAAUAAUGCAACAGUAAAUGGUACCACACCACCCAUUACUACACCAGUGAAUAAUGCAACAGUGAGCAAUACCACUCCACCAAUAACUACACCUGGGAAUAAUGCAACAGUAAAUGUUACCACACCACUCAUGACAACACCAGUAAAUGCUAGUAUUCCACCUUUAACUACACCUGGGAAUAAUGCAACAGUAAAUGGUACCACACCACCCAUAACUACACUCGAGAAUAAUUCAACAGUAAACGUUACCACAACACCCAUGACUACACCAGUAAAUGCUACUAUACAACCUUUUACUACACCAGAGAAUAAUGCAACAGUAAAUGCUACUACACCACCCGUGACUACACCAGGGAAAAAUGCAACAGUAAAUGCUACCACACAACCCAUGACGUCACCAGUAAAUGCUACUGCACCACCUUUAACUACACAAGGGAAUAAUGCAACAGUAAAUGGCACCACACCACCCAUUACUACACCAGAGAAUAAUGUAACAGUAAGCAAUACCACUCCACCAAUAACUACACCUGGGAAUAAUGCAACAGUAAAUGUUACCACACCACCCAUGACUACACCAGUAAAUGCUACUAUACCACCUUUAAUUACACCAGAGAAUAAUGUAACAGUAAGCAAUAACACUCCACCAAUAACUACACCUGGGGAUAAUGCAACAGUAAAUGUAACCACACCACCCAUGACUACACCAGUAAAUGCUAGUAUACCACCUUUAACUACACAAGGGAAUAAUGCAACAGUAAAUGGUACCACGCCACCCAUAACUACACCAGAGAAUAAUGCAACAGUAAACGUUACCACAACACCCAUGACUACCCCACUAAAUGCUAUUACACCAGAGAAUAAUGCAACAGUAAAUGUUACUACACCACCCAUGACUACACCAGUAAAUGCUACUAUACCACCUUCAAUUACACCAGGUAAUAGCUCAACAGUAAAUGGUACUACACCACCCAUAACUACACUAGAGAAUAAUGCAACAGUAAACGUUACCACAACACCCAUGACUACACCAGUAAAUGCUACUAAACCACCUUUAACUACAUUAGAGAAUAAUGCAACAGUAAACGCUACCACACCACCCAUGACUACAACAGGAAACGAUGCAACAGUAAAUGCUACCACACAACCCAUGACCUCACCUGUUAAUGCGACUGCACCACAUUUAACUACACAAGGGAAUAAUGCAACAGUAAAUGGUACCACACCACCCAUUACUACACCAGAGAAUAAUGCAACAGUAAGCAAUACCACUCCACCAAUAACUACACCUGGCAAUAAUGCAACAGUAAAUGUUACUACCCCACCCAUGACUACAUCAGAGAAUAAUACAACAGUAAAUGCUACUACACCACCCAUGACUACACCAGAGAAUAAUACAACAGUAAAUGCUACUAAACCACCCAUGACUACACCAGGGACCAAUGCAACAGUAAAUGCUACCACACCACCCAUGACCACACGAGUAAAUGCUACUGCGCCCCCUUUAACUACACCAGGAAACAAUGCAACAGUAAACGCAACCAUACCACCUAUGACUACACCAGGGAACAAUGCAACAGUAAAUGCUACCACACCACCCAUGACCACACAAGUAAAUGCUACUGCGCCACCUUUAACUACACCAGGAAACAAUGCAACAGUAAACGCAACCAUACCACCUAUGACUACACCAGGGAACAAUGCAACAGUAAAUGGUACCACACCACCCAUUCCUACAACAGUAAAUGCUACAACACCACCUUCAACUACACCAGGAAACAAUGCAACAGUAAACACAACCAUACCACCUAUGACCACACCUGUAAAUGUUACUACACCACUUCUAACUACAUCAGUUAAUAGCACAACAGUUAAUGCUACCACACCACCCAUGACUACACCAGGGAAUAAUGAAACAACAACAGUAAAUGCCACUACACCACCCAUCACUACUCCAGUAAAGUCUACCUUGCUACCCCUAACUACAUCAGGGAACAAUGCAACAGUGAAUGCCACCACACCACCCAUGUCUACAACAGCAAAUGCUAGUACACCACCCAUCACUACUCCAGUAAAUGCUACUACACCACCCCCUACUACACCAGGGAACAAUGCAACUGUAAAUGUUUCCACACCAUCCAUCACUACUCCAGUAAAUGCUACUUCACAACCUCAAACUACACCAGGGAACAAUGCAACAGUAAAUGCUACCACACCAUCCAUAACUACACCAGGAAACACUACAACAGAGAAUGCUACCCGACCACCUCAGUCUACACCAGGAAAUGCUACUACACCCAUAACCAACUCAACAACUGGACCCACUGUCUCUACCACUAACCCAACUAACACUACAACCACACCAGCUACCUGUCCUGCGGUGCCCUGCCCACCGCUGAGUGUCUGUGUGAACUCCACCUGUCAGUGCGUGACAGGAUCUAUUCCUUUAAAUAACGCCUGUGUUGAAACUAAAACCUUCACUAGUUCACUUCGAGUGAACCGCACUUUUGUAGAUGCUAUGAAUGAUCCCAAAUCACCUGAAUUCCAGGAAACUGCUAAAGAGAUAAUUGCUGCGGUAAAUGAAGCUCUGCAUAACCAGCCAAACUACAUUAACAGCAUAGUAAUUAAACUGAUGUCUGGCAGUAUAGUGGCCUCAGUAAACAGUUUUUUUGAGCCCAAUUCUCCAGUCACACAGGAAUCGGUUAUAUCUGCCAUGAAUACUGCUAUAAGUGAUUGUAAAGUGACCAACUGUGGCAUUCUUGCUAAUGCUGAAUACGCUGCUACCGACCUGUGUGCGCAAGUUCCUCCUCCUUGUGAUACUAACACUACAACGUGUGAGGCCAAAGAUGGGACCCCUGUUUGUUCCUGUAAACCUGGCCAUGUAUCUAGCCAAUACCAGACCAGAAGCUGUAGAGUUUGCCCUAGUGGCUACAAAGCGCAAGAGAACGAGUGUGUUAGAUGUCCAUUUGGCUAUUCUGGAUUCAACUGUGAUGACUCCUCUUUGUUGGCUCUAGUGGUGGUGGCGUGUGUGUUAGGAGGAAUUCUACUCAUUGUGAUUUUGGCAGUUCUAAUCUACAUCUGUGUGACUCGUGGCAAGAAGUCAUCAAACAGCAAUUAUUACAGCACUCCGUACCCUGCCGAGGAGUUCCAGGCCACAUGGCCCUCUCAGAACGUCACCCAUAUUCCUCGUGUCACUCUGACAUCUAAUUCCAGCACUGAUGCCACUGGCAACAGUCUAGAGAUGGCUGAAGGGCCAAGCAGGAAAGGCCACAGUAAUGGAUUGGUGAGUGUCUCCUUCCGUUCAAAACUUCACAAAUAAACUAUAAACCAGUUAAACCAUUUGAUUCUUAGAGCAGUCACACUUAUCUUUAACUUACAGUGGGGUUUGUAUCAAUUCAAAGACUAGCUUAUUUGUGGACCUUUUUCACUGAAUAAUAAAUUAUUGUAAAAUUAAGUUACUGUAAGAUACUUUAAGGAUGCAUAAGCACUACUGUUCAAUCUGGGGUCAAGUUCCAACUGUUUUCAACCUUGAUAACAAAAGUUUAUUAGCAACAAAUCAGCAUAUUAGAUAAAUUGACACUAAAGAUUGAAAAUUCAAAUUUGUCAUCAAUAAAUUAAACUUUUAAAUAUAAAGUUAUUUUAAAUUGUAUUUUUUUCACAAUAUUUUUUUACUGUAUUUUAUCAUCAAAUAAAUGGUAAACAAGAGUUUUUUCAAAAACCAUUAAAAAUCUAACUGACCCCCCAACAUUUGCAGUAGUCUAAAAUUAUAUUAUUUAUAUACUAUAUGGCAUAUAAUAUAUUAUAUAUUACUAAUAAUUAUACCUCUUUUUUUUAUAUCAUUCUAAGAAUUGCCCCACUGUAAGUUACAAAAAAUUCUUCCAUUAAUCCUGCAUGUAUCUCAUAUUUACACUAACAAUAGUAUCAUCUGCCACCACUAACAAAUACUAAAUAUAUUGUUCAAUCAAACCCUUGUCCAUUUCCAAAUUUACUCUGCUUGCCAAACUGAACUACAAUACUCCUAAUUGAUCCAACGAUUGGAUUAUUCUAAUUUUCUCUGAUGAAUUACUUGACUGAAUGACUGAAGUCCAUUAUGAGCAGUUGUAGUCAUGACAAGGCCACAUAUUAAGGAAGUCUAUUGCAUUAAUGAAACAACUGCUUUUGUGGUUAGCAGAAAGCUAACAGUAGUACAAAGUACUACAGAUUUAAUAACUUUAAUGUUUGAAAUCAUAAUUUUAUCAUAAUGGAUGUACAAGUUUUGUGAUUGGUUUGCUCAUAAACAAACCUCUUUGUGUGUGUGUGUGUGUGUUUGUGCACGUAUUUGUGGUCACUUUGUUGUGUUUGUGGUAUCCCGUAUAUGGGCUUGAUUUCUCCUCACUCCAAACACAAUGACUGUAGAAGAUUGGAGGAAAGUCGGGCUCGUAUGACCUCAGAACAGAUGGCAUGAGGACCUUUAAGGACAUAAACCCCACACGGUACUCUUAUCUGACGGGUCAAGAAAACCCCUACUUCAUACAAGGAGACGAGAAGAGAUGAGGAAAACAACAGAGAAAGCCAGUGAGAAGUAAGAGGACAAGAAAAGAGUGCAAUAAAGACAUGAUUUUAAAAAGGCCUUGGAUCAAAAUGUUUCAGGAACGUUAACAAUGUCAAAACCAAACUGUUGAUCACAGACUCCAGGUAUAUACAUAAACGGCAUUUGAAAGAUACUGUUUUUCUGCACAUUUCAUAUUCAGUGUUUUGUUAUAUGACAGAGAUCAUGCAUAUGUUACGGUGGUUUUCAACUCAAAAUACAUUUUACAUUAUUAUUAAGUACAAAAUAUCAAACCAUAUUUUGGCACAUUUGAUUAAAAUUUCUUAUCUGUGGAAGCAGUAAGGGCAGAUUUUACAGUGUAGUCCAGUAAUUCUGAUGCAUCUAAUCUAUAUUCUGACAGUUACUGCACUUUGUAGGAGAGAGCAUGUCAUGUCAUGUUGGUGUUUUAAGUUAUAUCUAUCAGAAAGCUUCUGAUACUUUCAGUUCUUAAGUUUUGGGGGCAAUCCAUCUUUCCCAAAGAAUGUAUUUAUUUUAUGCCAGGACAAUGCAUGCCACCAGAAAUUGAUCUCUGUGCCUGACUGCAAUGUUGUCUUUUGAAUAGGAGAAUUAUGCAAUAAUGAGAAGUUCUCAACCAUGUCUCCUCUGUAGUCGUGCCAAUACUUAUAUUUAUUUAAAUCAGAACAUGAUGUGGUUUACUUAGCUGUCUGUUUGCUUCAUAUAUAUAUACUUAUUUAUGUGUAACUGGGAUAUGUAUCAUACAUAAAGCUUUUGUAAAAAAAGAAAAAAGCUCAUUGGAAAAAGUGAUUCAACCUGUUCUUUAUAUUGAAAGAAAAUAAAUGAAUAAUUAAUAUGUAUUCUCUACAA